AUGACAAGAACCCGGAGGAUCCCCCUGAUGAAUGCAGGGACCUUGAUGGAGUCACACACAAGCUGAACGUGCAGUGGAAGACUGAGAACUGUUACACAUGUAGUUGUGAUGAGACUGGAAUUCAUUGCUGCAACACUGCUGCCAUCCCCGGAGGUUUUGAUACCACAAAGUGCAAGACGAUCUUCCACAAGGACACUUGCAGCUACUCCGUGGUGGAGCUGGAGAACCCGGACAAGGAAUGUCCAGUCAGCUCGUGGAUCCUGUGAAGAGCUAGCGGGCCCAGGUCCUCCCGCGGGCCCGGACAGCCCGAUGUACAGCCCUGCUUAUCAGUAAAGCAUGUGUGGAGCAAU